GUCAGGAACCCCAUGCCUAAAGGCAGGGGCUUGCGUAAGUAAGCCUGGACCUGACCAGUCUCAGCCAGAGCAGACUUGAUGGAUAGAAUCAUCAAGGCUAUCGGGCUACGUUAGGAACGAAAUAGGUACGUUGGGGUGCUUUGCCGCUACGGUACAGCAUUAAACAUCCCUAGAGGGUUAAGGACGUGUGUUGUACGUAAAACCGUUUGCUAACAUUGACGAGGCACACAUUAC
rfam:Ktedonobacter racemifer DSM 44963 strain SOSP1-21 Krac_Contig206, whole genome shotgun sequence.